rnacentral:tRNA from 1 species
UUGAAAACUAUUUAUAUAAGUUUAAAAAAAAACAUUACACUUUCAUUGUAAAAUUAAACAUUUAUGUUAUAUA